rnacentral:tRNA from 2 species
GCGCCGGUACCCAAGCGGUCAACGGGGAUGGUCUGUAAAACCAUUGGCAUUGCCUACGCAGGUUCGAAUCCUGCCCGGCGCA